ACAUCCAUUAUUCCGCGGAAUCUGCUUUAUUUUCUAGCUGAUUUGAAACGCUUUGUGGGAACCGGAUUGAUCGGUAGCACCGGUGCCAGCAACUAAGGUAAGCAAUAAUCUGAACAACGGAAGUGGGAUUGUUGCAAAGACCGGGAUCGAUGGAUUUCUUAAAGGCAUCGCGGAACAGCUGGCUACCAAGAUUCCGCUGCAUCGCUUCGAGGGAGUUUAAGAGAAGUUCAAUGAUGAUGAGCAACUGCAUAAAUAUUUAUCUACCAAGGUAUCGGUUGUCAAAGUUUUUUUGUAUUGGAAGCUGUGAUAUCGAUGAAAAAAAUUUCUCCAGCCAAAGAUUCCAGUGGGCACGAGCGUUUGGCAUCAACUGACCGGGCUCUAUCGGGAUCUAGUCGAACGGAUGACAACGUACUUGGCCGAAGUAUCUCGCUCGAUGCGGAAAGUGCUUCAGAUACUCUUCAGAUCCCCCCUCCCUCCCUAGCCGAUUGUCGCAGAACGGCACCGGUGGCAAAGCAUGGGUUAGCGACUCAUGAUACAACAUGAGCAAACCAUUUCCGUGACGUUACUAUCACUUGUGGAUUCGUCGGCUUCAGAUGAAAACUCGUUGGUUUACCAGACUGAUCAGGUGGCGGGAUAAAAAGUUCAAUUACGACAUGAAUUCACUAUAGGGGCAUAUUCAUCGCUAGUGCACUUUAUUAUCCUGACGAAGUGUGAUUUAUAAUGUAAAAUAUUUUUAAAAGAUUGUAAGUUAUUAUUUUCUUCCAAAUA